rnacentral:tRNA from 1 species
AUAAUCAGAGGCUAUUUAACAGCCAACAGACUCAUAAUCUGUGGAUAGUCUUUACAGACUGGUUAUA